GAGGGUGGCCGUGACUGGCGCAGGUGGAUCACCACCGGGGAGCGGUCUAGCAGUGCCUUCGACGCCGCCCGCCUGGGUGUGGGGC
rnacentral:ncRNA from 2 species